rnacentral:piRNA from 1 species
UNUUCAAAUCAGUGUUUAAGGUACUCAGU